rnacentral:rRNA from 1 species
UACGUAGGGACCAAGCGUUGUUCGGAUUUACUGGCGUAAAGGGUGCGUAGGCGGUUGUUUAAGUUUGGUGUGAAUCUCCCGGCUCAACUGGGAGGGUGCGCCGAAUACUGAAUGACUAGAGUGCGGGAGAGGAGAGUGGAAUUCCUGGUGUAGCGGUGAAAUGCGUAGAUAUCAGGAGGAACACCGGUGGUGUAGACGGCUCGUCUGGACCGUAACUGACGCUGAGGCACGAAAGCGUGGGUAGCAAACAGG